CCUUCAGACGGUACACACAUUACCUUACUGUAAGAAACACAUGGUCAUAUUGUCACGAGAGUGAAUAAUACGAAGACGGUGAACAAAACAGACAACCAGAGCCUCGCUUACCUAUAAGUGAAGUGUUCGUAGUCUUACCCUGGCCAGUGUUUCAAGCACCAAUCAUGGACCUACUUUAUCAGCUCAGGCGUGUAGAUGGAAGCAAUAGAAGGAAGACGAAGGAGAAACAGUGGAGGAGGAUGAAGAAGAAAUAAGAAAUAGAAGCGGAAUAGGAGGAGUCAAGGUGUGAUAUUUAGGAGUUACCGAUCAACUCGCUCUGGCGCGAUCCCGAGCCACCUGUAGCAUCAAGAUCAAGUUCGCAGGGUGCUGCCAUGGCGACGGAAUACAAACAAAUGUCAGUGAGAAUGAGUGAGUGGUAAAGAAAUGCUGCCCUGAGUCCCUAGUUAACAGUGCUCAAUCUCGCAAGACUACACCGGUGAAAGAUCACUUUUUCACUGCCCCAACAACAAUUUGUUAAAACGGUAGCACUAUGUCGUACAGAGAACUAAGAAACUGCACAGAGAUGCUUCGUGCAUUGGGCUUCAGGCGUCUCAUCUCUGUAGAAAAUUUUCGUUCUCCAAAUUUUCCACUUGUUGCGGAAAUCCUGGCUUGGCUGGUGCACAGAUUCGAUCCCAAGGCUGACCUUCCUACAGAUAUCGAUACGGAGCAAGACAGAGUUAUUUUCAUCAGAUCUGUUGCUCAGUUUAUGGCAGCAAAAGCUCAUGUUCGUCUCAACACAAAACGACUGUAUCAGAGUGAUGGCUAUGCAGUACAGGAAAUUCUUAAGGGCCUCAGCAUUUUGUAUGCUGCCAUUCAGAACAAUGAUGGCCAGAAUUUGUAUGAGGAACAGUCAGAAACUACCCUCAACUUUGAUGUUUCUAACAAGAUUUCAGAACUGAAGCAUAUUCGAUCCCUAGCAUCAGAGAUUACAAGCCGAGGUGCCACUCUUUAUGACCUGCUUCGGAGGGAAGUCGAUUUGAGGGAGACACGUACAGUCAUCAUUAACAGGCAGCUGGAGUUGACAGAAGUGGAGGCAGGGAUGCAGGAGGCCAUACAAGCAUGUGACGAUGAGGUGAAGCGCAACCAGGUAUCCAUUGAGAAUGUAGACUCUGAUCAAGCCAACCUGCAGGCCAAGAUUGAGAAGAAAAAGACAGGACUUGAUCGAGGACAGAAGCGACUACUCACUUUGAAGAAAGUCAGGCCAGCAUUCAUGGAUGAAUAUGAGAAGCUGGAGCAGGACCUUAGGAGACAGUAUGAGUCCUUUGUACAGAAGUUCAUUAGUCUCUCUUAUUUAGAGAACCAACUUGAUGACUAUGACCGCCAUGAACAGGAAAAGAUGGCUGAAAGAGAGUCAGCCACAAUGAGAAUGUUGGAAAGACUGAGGACAGAGGAGAAUAGACUGGGCAGUGCUGCAGAGGAUUCUGAUGAUUCAGAUGAUGAUGAUGAUGACGAUGACGAUGAUGAUGACGACGACGAUGAUGAUGAGGAACUGCUAAAAGACAUGAAGGACAAGAUAGUGGAAAAGCAAGCCAAAAAGAGUGCUGGGAAAGAUGACGAGUUUGUGUAGUCACAAGGAGGAUUGCAGGGGAGGCUGCUUCAGUACCUGUCUAGAGGUUAUCAGGAGAUCGACGCGUGUUUGGUAACAUGACCGGAGGUGAUCUAGACUCAGAAUCCCUUGACUCUGACACUGACCUUAACCUGGAUGGGGUUGGUGAUUCUGACCUGGAUGCUGCUGACCUUGAAUUAGU
rnacentral:misc_RNA from 1 species